CAGUCUUUGUCACUUUUUCCUCCAGGCUACCCUGUCUCUGUGCCCCAGUUCCUGCUCCUUCUCAUCUUGUUUUCGUCCCCCUCUUAUGGGUCCUUUAACAUAUGACAGCAUUUUAUUUAUUGUAUUUGUUAUCUUAUAGUAUGAACUCCACUGGGGCAAGCAUUUUAGCUCGUUUGGUUUAUGAUGUAUCUAAAGUGCAAAGAGCAAUGCCCGGUACAUGACAAACAUUACAUGCAGAUUAUUGAUUGAAAAGAAUUUGCUGAUUUAUUCAACAGGCACAAAUUGAAUAUUUGCUGUGCACUUGGCCUUAUGCUAGGUGCUGAGGUAAAAUGAUGAGGACAGUCAGAUGUGGCUUCUGCUGUCAGGCAGCUUAGAGCCUGAUGGCGAAUCAGAGGCAUUAACCCAAACCCCAGAACAAGCCUGGAGAAGCAGAUAUCAAUGUCUCCUGCUGCCGGACAUGGCUGUGUGGCCCAGUUUUGGACAAUGAGAGGUAAAGAGAGGUCUUUCAAAGGUUUCUGGGAAGGAGAGUCCUCUUCUAGAUAAGGAAUAAGAGUGGAAAUUGUUCUAUACUGCUUCCAGUUUCCUGUCUUUGAGGAUAUGUAACUUAGAGUUCAUGUGAAAUAGCAUCCCUUGCUGCCAUCAGGAAAUACUGAGAACCUCAGCGUCACCAACCCAAGACCUGACACUGCUAAACUUCUGAAUCAAGGCCAAAAACUGCCUCCCUUUUCCAUAAGAAAAUUGAGUCUUUCAUUAAGCCAGUAUUUGGUUAUUUGAUAUAUGCAGUCAAAAGAAUUCCUGACAGAUACGGUAUAAUACCAGGCAUGUUUCCACUCCUGGCUUUAUUUUAAUCUUUAAGGUUUGAGAAAAAAUGCCCGUCACUCCAUUUUCUGGCUCAGGGUAUGGGCUAAGAUGGUAACAUGGCGAAAUUUAUUGUAUUUGUUUUCUCAAUUUCCAUUGCUUCUUCUUGGUGAUAUUAUCCUGAUUUCUCCUCAGGAGGCUGGCCCUCUCUCUUUCUCAGACCUUAGGGCUUAAUGGCAUUGAUCCUACCCUGACAACCCUAAGGUCUGAGACAGAGAGCAUGGCAAAUCAGAGUAUUGUACUCCAGUGACAUUGUGACUGUUUCAGAGGUAGGACCAAGAAACAGAGAGUGAGAUUAGAUCUUGAUGGCAGAAGUCAAGCCCCUUUACUGAGAUAAACCUGAGGCCUUGUCUAAAUCCAGAAAUUAGUAGGUGAGAAAAAUCUAUUCUCUUUGUCAUGUGUAGUUUGAGUUAAAUUCUUGCAAUUCCAGCAACCAAAAGAGGACUGACUUCUAAAAUCCUGCCACUAGAACCACUGCAUUUUCAUCAUCAGUGGCAUCUGUGUUGAAAUGUUCUAACAGAAGCUUGGCACAGAUCAAAAAUGCUAUAAAGGGAAUUCCAGCUCUAAGUAGGAAACUAAAGUAAAUUACUACUAAGGUCUCUUUCAAUUCUCAAAUUAUAUGAUACUAU
rnacentral:lncRNA from 1 species